ensembl:lncRNA
CAGGAAGCAGCUCACCUGUGUGUCCGUGUUUAGUGUCCAGGUGUGGAGUGGAGCUUGUUGUUGUUGGUGUGAAGAAACUGUAUUCAUUGUCUUCUACAGUAGAGCGGGACAUUUGAUUUACUCUCAGCGGAAUUGACCGGAGAAGGCACCAGUUCAUGCACUGCACUGGCCCGCACCACGAUUAGUAUAAGGCACAUUUCACGAAGCAGAACGCAGUCUUCAGAGAUAUCCACGUGAACGCUGUGAUACUGACCUUCAGUCCGAAGAAGAAACCCAGACCAGUCUUAAAAGAAAGCACAAACCAAAUGCCCUGUACACAUAUACGGACUCAGAGGAUGAGCAGCCUACAAAAAAUGGUUUCCCCAGGCCCUUCG